rnacentral:snRNA from 1 species
GGAUGUGAGGGUGAUCUGGCUAUGCUAUUUGUCACCACAUUGAUUGCCAGAGUUGAUUCCACUGAUCUGGCUGGCUAGGCAGGUGUCUCCUUCCUCCCUUACUGAUCAAUGUGCCUCAUGCCCGAAGCUGUGCAGUUGAUGGAAGAGGAACACUUUCCCAAUAGAGGAGGACCAGUCUUUGGUCAAGGGUAUACAAGUAGCUACAUGCCCCUACUAGAACCUCCGAACAAAACUUUCAAGGUCUACAUCUUUUUAUUUAUAAAUGCCCAACAAAAGCAUUAUAUGCCAUGUAUAGUUAUAUAUUUAAUGUUAUGUAUAUG